UCUUGUGAACAGUGUUGCAGCUUCCGGUCACUAGCGAGGCAACGUCAAACCAGAGCAUGCUGCUUCCCGUCGUUUCAGACUGAAUGAGCCCACUUUAGGAACACGAACAGGCUGAGGGAGACUUCUCUGUCUCUGAUGAUCUAUGGAGUCAGGCGUUUGGACGAGCCUCCUCUUCAUGCAUCGGCCUCACCCUCACCAUAGAUUCAGCUACAAGAAUGCCCACAAUUGCUCCAAGUCAAGCUCCAGACCUGACAGCCUUCCCACUCUCCCCACCAUUCCUCCACGGACACACCAGGAUCAAAGCUCUCAGCUCUGGUUCUUCCCUCACAUCAGAACAAGUAAGAUCAGCCACACUUUACUAUUUCACAGUCUCACUAUUCCACAUCUUGGAUUGGAUUGAACUUUGUUAAUCUCCCUAAUACCUCCCCCUGAACACCUACAAUCUCAUUUAUUGCAAAUAAAUCACAAUGAACUGCUUCCUCUUUCCUGUCUGCAUGUGGGGCAGGAAGUUGUCUCAAAACUUGACAGCAGUAACAAUACA